rnacentral:rRNA from 1 species
GUGGGGAAUUUUGGACAAUGGGCGCAAGCCUGAUCCAGCAAUGCCGCGUGCAGGAUGAAGGCCUUCGGGUUGUAAACUGCUUUUGUACGGAACGAAACGGUCCGGGUUAAUACCCUGGGCUAAUGACGGUACCGUAAGAAUAAGCACCGGCUAACUACGUGCCAGCAGCCGCGGUAAUACGUAGGGUGCAAGCGUUAAUCGGAAUUACUGGGCGUAAAGCGUGCGCAGGCGGUUUUGUAAGACAGGCGUGAAAUCCCCGGGCUCAACCUGGGAAUUGCGCUUGUGACUGCAAGGCUGGAGUGCGGCAGAGGGGGAUGGAAUUCCGCGUGUAGCAGUGAAAUGCGUAGAUAUGCGGAGGAACACCGAUGGCGAAGGCAAUCCCCUGGGCCUGCACUGACGCUCAUGCACGAAAGCGUGGGGAGCAAACAGGAUUAGAAACCCCAGUAGUCC